ACUAACGAGGAUUCCCUAGUAACUGCGAGUGAAGCGGGAAAAGCUCAAAUUUAAAAUCUGGCGGUCUUUGGCCGUCCGAGUUGUAGUCUGGAGAAGCGUCUUCUACGCCGGACCGUGUACAAGUCCCUUGGAACAGGGCGUCAUAGAGGGUGAGAAUCCCGUCCAUGACACGGACCGCCGGUGGUUUGUGAUGCGCUCUCAAAGAGUCGAGUUGUUUGGGAAUGCAGCUCAAAAUGGGUGGUAAAUUCCAUCUAAAGCUAAAUACUGGCGAGAGACCGAUAGCGAACAAGUACCGUGAGGGAAAGAUGAAAAGCACUUUGGAAAGAGAGUUAAACAGUACGUGAAAUUGCUGAAAGGGAAACGCUUGAAGUCAGUCGCGUCGGCCGGGGCUCAGCCUUGCAUUCGUUUGCUCGGUUUACUUCCCGGUCGACGGGCCAGCGUCGAUUUUGACCGUCGGAAAAGGGUCAGAGGAAAGUGGCACCUUCGGGUGUGUUAUAUAGCCUUUGGUCGCAUACGGCGGUCGGGAUCGAGGAACGCAGCACGCCUUCAUUGGCCGGGGCAUUCGUGCCCACGCAUCGUGCUUAGGAUGCUGGCGGUAAUGGCUUUAAACGACCCGUCUUGAAACACGGACCAAGGAGUCUAACGUGCCUGCGAGUGUUUGGGUGGAAAACCCGAGCGCGCAAUGAAAGUGAAAGUCGAGAUCUCUGUCGCGGAGAGCAUCGACGCCCGGACCUGAGCUGCUUGCGAAGGAUCUGCGGUAGAGCACGCACGUUGGGACCCGAAAGAUGGUGAACUAUGCCUGAAUAGGGUGAAGCCAGAGGAAACUCUGGUGGAGGCUCGUAGCGAUUCUGACGUGCAAAUCGAUCGUCGAAUUUGGGUAUAGGG
rnacentral:rRNA from 1 species